GAAAGUUCACCGACAUAAUAUUUUAACAUUGUAGCUCAUAAGCUUGAAAGGGUCCUCACCAAAGGCCCGCAGAGCAAAUCUGGAAAAUACUGGCACACACUGCCUCCUGGCCGGCCUUCUCCUCUAUCCUGUACCUCCUUUUACCCCUCCCUGAGCCCUAAUCCUAUUCAAAGCCACAGAAAAUUGGAUUAAAGGAAACAGCCAGCAAAGAAAUCCUUUCUAACCUUCAUUUUAACACUGGGCACUUUCUGAACACAGCAUCUAAUCUUUAUUUAGCACUGUAUGCAUGGCUCCUUCCACAGGAGGAUUUAUCCUCUCAGGAAAUGAACAACAAAAAGCUGAACAAGGGGAAAAAAGAAUGUAAGUAGGUAAAGGUGUUAUUCAAGCUUACAGGCUACAUGAAAAACAACCAAGCCGCCACAGUGACAUCAGGAGGUGGAGGCAGCGAGCCACUAAGAUUUCAGCCUAAAAGGUCUCCAGCCUUCCAAUUUGAGUUGUGCAGAGAAGUUGGCCUGGUUUAUCCUCAUUCUUGUGUUUAACUUGCAGCCUUCCCAGGAAAAAAAUCAUCCUUACUAUGGCAGAAUAAUGAAAGAAUUCAAGACUCGAACCAGAUAAGAGGUUAAAGUGGAAAAACUGGCUUUAUUCAGCAGAGAGGACAAGCAAGAAAAGCCACUCCGUGGACAGAGUAGCGACUCUUCUCAUGGGAGAAGGAAGAGACAUCAACCAUCUCUAGAGGCUGAGCUUUUAUCUGUAGUUUCUAUGGAAAAUUGCUGGUGUGGGGUAAAGAAUGGGGAAAAAGUUGGGAUUAACUUUAACCUUUACAAGGUAUAUUUUGUGGCCUUGUGUUUUUCCAUGAUGUGGGUAAACAAUAAGAGAUGAGGGAGUAGCUAUGAAUCAAACUUUGCAGGAAUUUUCUUUGUCCGGAGGCCCUUUGUGGUCUGCCUUUAUCUCCAGUCAGCCAAGGUCUGUGUCAGGCGGCACGCAGCAGGCCCUGACUUAACUCUGUGUGACUUUAGAUAAUUUGUAUAGUUCUCAUACCUCUCUCCUAUAUUUGUGCUAGAUCAUAGUGCACUAUGAUUUUCUAUAUUUUCUAUAUUGAUGAAAAAUGUGCUCAAAAGCAUAUUAAACUAUGGCAUCAUGAUUCAUCUGGCUGAUUUCUCUACUCUUCAAAAUUUGAUCACCUUUUGACAUGAACACAUAUCAAAUGUAUUCUGGAAAGUUGGAAGGCAUAUGCAUUCAAUGAGGGUAAAUUUAUUUGUU